rnacentral:RNase_P_RNA from 1 species
CGAGUCGGACGGAUGGUCGCGGCGGUGAAACCGUCGAGGAAAGUCCGGACUCCGUAGAGCAGGGUGGUUGUUAACGGCAACCCGGGGUGACCCGCGGGACAGUGCCACAGAAAGCAAACCGCCUCCGCGUGAAGCGGUGGUAAGGGUGAAACGGUGGUGUAAGAGACCACCAGCGGGUCAGGUGACUGACUCGGCUUGGUAAACCCCACCCGGAGCAAGGUCAAGAAGGGCUUUCGGGUCCGCGUGAACGAUUGAGGGCUGCUCGCCCGAGUUCGCGGGUAGACCGCUCGAGCCCGUUGGUAACAGCGGGCCCAGAUGGAUGGCCAUCGGUUCGGAGCAUCGCUUCGAGCUACAGAAUCCGGCUUAUGCGCCGACUCGUCCA